GGCUAGGUUGGCGGUGCUGGUCCUCCCGCCUCGGCGGGAGGGGCAAGAGGGAACCCGGUGCGAGUCCGGGACUGCCCCGCAGCGGUGAGUGGGAACGACAUCGUCAUACGCACUGGGUCCGACCACCUGGGAAGCGACGGUGAAGGAGACCGCGGCGCAAGCCGCGGUGAGCCGCAAGGCUCGUCGCCCACGAGUCCGAAGACCUGCCAGUGCACCGCAUCCGCG
rnacentral:ncRNA from 2 species